UCAUGAAGAUCUCAGCUCUCGCCUUCGUUGCUCUGUUUGGUGUCCUCGGUGUCGCUCUCGGUAUGGGAUAUGGUGGAUACCAGUACGUUCCCGUCUACCCCGGUGCUGGCCGUGGUGCUGGGUACAAUGACAGCACUUUCUUGAUGUUGAUCGGCUUCUUGUUCCUGAUCUUGAUCCUAUUCAACAGCAACUUGUUCAACACAACCAGCACAACCUCUUCUACAACCGGUGUCACCGUAAUUUCUGGUUAAACAAUUUACACGGUUCCGGAAAGUGCUAUCAGAUUUCUUUCAGUAUUCAUGUUGCAACUCGAUGGUGUCUAAAACGGGAAGCCAGUCUAGCCGGUCCUGUUCUUCACACGAAUGUACAUUUCACAUCAUCGUUUCCAUCGUCAUUCGCAGCCAUA